rnacentral:lncRNA from 1 species
AUGAACAAAGCUAGUGGAGGUGAUGGAAUUCCAGUUGAGCUAUUUCAACUCCUGAAAGAUGAUGCUGUGAAAGUGCGGCACUCAAUAUGUCAGCAAAUUUGGAAAACUCAGCAGUGGCCACAGGACUGGAAAAGAUCAGUUUUCAUUCCAAUCCCAAAGAAAGGCAAUGCCAAAGAAUGCUCAAACUACUGCACAAUUGCACUCAUCUUACACGCUAGUAAAGUAAUGCUCAAAAUUCUCCACGCCAGGCUUCAGCAAUAUGUGAACCGUGAACUUCCAGAUGUUCAAGCUGGUUUUAGAAAAGGCAGAGGAACCAGAGAUCAAAUGGCCAACAUAUGCUGGAUCAUGGAAAAAGCAAGAGAGUUCCAGAAAAACAUCUCUUUCUGCUUUACUGACUAUGCCAAAGCCUUUGACUGUGUGGAUCACAAUAAACUGUGGAAAAUUCUUCAGGAGAUGGGAAUACCAGACCACCUGACCUGCCUCUUGAGAAACCUAUAUGCAGGUCAAGAAGCAACACUUAGAACUGGACAUGGAACAACAGACUGGUUCCAAAUAGGAAAAGGAGUAUGUCAAGGCUGUAUAUUGUCACCCUGCUUAUUUAACUUAUAUGCAGAGUACAUCAUGAGAAACGCUGGACUGGAAAAAGCACAAGCUGGAAUCAAGAUUUCCGGGAGAAGUAUCAAUAACCUCAGAUAUGCAGAUGACACCACCUUUAUGGCAGAAAGUGAAGAGGAGCUAAAAAGCCUCUUGAUGAAAGUGAAAGAGGAGAGUGAAAACGUUGGCUUAAAGCUCAACAUUCAGAAAACGAAGAUCAUGGCAUCUGGUCCCAUCGCUUCAUGGAAAAUAGAUGGGGAAACAGCAGAAACAGUGUCAGACUUUAUUAUUUUGGGCUCCAAAAUCACUGCAGAUGGUGACUGCAGCUGUGAAAUUAAAAGACGCUUACUCCUUGGAAGAAAGGUUAUGACCAACCUAGACAGCAUAUUCAAAAGCAGAGACAUUACUUUGCCAACAAAGGUUCAUCUAGUCAAGGCUAUGGUUUUUCCUGUGGUCAUGUAUGGAUGUGAGAGUUGGAUUGUGAAGAAAGCUGAGCGCUGA